rnacentral:rRNA from 1 species
UAAUACGAAGGUGGCAAGCGUUGUUCGGAAUAACUGGGCUUAAAGAGCACGUAGGCGGCUGGUCUAGCAUCUUGUGAAAUCCCUCGGCUCAACCGAGGAAUUGCGAGGUGGACUGGCCGGCUUGAGCUGCAGAUGGGUGACUGGAACUCUAGGUGGAGUGGUGAAAUGCGUAGAUAUCUAGAGGAACGCCGGUGGUGAAAACGGGUCACUGGCUGCAUGCUGACGCUGAGGUGCGAAAGCGUGGGGAGCGAACGGGAUUAGAUACCCCGGUAGUCCACGCCGUAAACGAUGGGUACUAGGUUCGGGGGAGUUUGACCUCUUCCGGGCCGAAGCAAAAGUACUAAGUACCCCGCCUGGGGAGUACGGUCGCAAGGCUA